rnacentral:rRNA from 2 species
GUGACUGCGGAGGAUCAUU